UUGGACGUUUCGUGGAACCCAGU
rnacentral:piRNA from 1 species